UACGUAGGGACCGAGCGUUGUCCGGAUUCAUUGGGCGUAAAGAGCUCGUAGGCGGCCACUCAAGUCGAAUGUGAAACCUCGAGGCUUAACCUCGAGCCUGCAUUCGAUACUGGGCGGCUAGAGUCUGGUAGGGGGAUCUGGAAUUCCUGGUGUAGCGGUGGAAUGCGCAGAUAUCAGGAGGAACACCGGCGGCGAAGGCGGAUCUCUGGGCCGAUACUGACGCUGAGGAGCGAAAGCGUGGGGAGCGAACAGG
rnacentral:rRNA from 1 species